CUGGACCUGGACCUGGACCUGGACCUGGACCUGGACCUGGACCUGAACCUGAACCUGGACCCAGCUGUGUGUCCUUUAAGAGCAACCGGUCGAAGGACUUUUGGAUUACUUUUAAAGAAGGAUGUGGUUCUGGUCCAAAGAGGAAUGAACCUGGACCUGAACCCAGCUGUGUGUCCUUUAAGAGCGACCGGUCCAAGGGCAUUGGUAUUGAUUUUAAAGGAGGACGUGAUUCUGCUCCAAAGAGAGUCCACCAGCAGAGCUCAGAGGUUCUCAGUGGUCAGUCUACCCAGCAGCAUCAGACACAGC